CAGUAGCCGCGGGAAUACGUAGGCGGCAAGCGUUGUCCGGAAUUAUUGGGCGUAAAGGGCUCGCAGGCGGUUUCUUAAGUCUGAUGUGAAAGCCCCCGGCUCAACCGGGGAGGGUCAUUGGAAACUGGGAAACUUGAGUGCAGAAGAGGAGAGUGGAAUUCCACGUGUAGCGGUGAAAUGCGUAGAGAUGUGGAGGAACACCAGUGGCGAAGGCGACUCUCUGGUCUGUAACUGACGCUGAGGAGCGAAAGCGUGGGGAGCGAACAGGAUUAGAUACCCCGGUAGUCCCUGUCUCUUAUAC
rnacentral:rRNA from 1 species